rnacentral:rRNA from 1 species
GACGAACGCUGGCGGCGCGCCUAACACAUGCAAGUCGAACGAGCGAGAGAGAGUUUACUUUUUCGAGCGAGUGGCGAACGGGUGAGUAACGCGUGAGGAACCUGCCUCAAAGAGGGGGACAACAGUUGGAAACGACUGCUAAUACCGCAUAAGCCCACGGCUCGGCAUCGAGCAGAGGGAAAAGGAGUGAUCCGCUUUGAGGUGGCCUCGCGUCCGAUUAGCUAGUUGGCGGGGUAACGGCCCACCAAGGCGACGAUCAGUAGCCGGACUGAGAGGUUGAACGGCCACAUUGGGACUGAGAUACGGCCCAGACUCCUACGGGAGGCAGCAGUGGGGAAUAUUGGGCAAUGGGCGCAAGCCUGACCCAGCAACGCCGCGUGAAGGAAGAAGGCUUUCGGGUUGUAAAGCUCUAUCAGCAGGGAAGAAGAAAAUGACGGUACCUGACUAAGAAGCACCGGCUAAAUACGUG